CUAUCUUGGUCUUUGCAGGCUCAAUGGGAGCAGUAAAACUGGAAAGCAUCAUUACUAAGACUUCCUUACUGAAGGAUGUUAGACAGCUGUCUCCACAGCACCAGACUUUCUCCCUUGACGCUUUCCACUCCCUCAUCCUGCAUUUCGCGCCCAAGCACACUGGGUUUUCAUAUCUUGGCAUGUAUAGCAGGCUUCUCUUAACAGCACUACAACUUCAAUGCAAACCAAGAGACAGCACGAAGAAGUGAUGGUACAGAGCAAUAUUGCGUGCGAUAUCCACGUUUCAGAAAAAGUGCUUUUGUAGUGCGUCCCAUCAAACAGAAGGCCUCAUACGGUUAUGCUACAUCCUUAAUGGAGGCCAUUCGGGAGAGCUACAUUAAUUCACCCAAGACUCUUCAAGAAGUUAGCGCUAACUGGUCAACCUGUGCACCCGCCCCCAUCGCCAAAUCAUUCAGACAAAUUCCCAAGGAGCAGGCCGUCAGCCUCUCUAUGGACCUAGGCUGCUCAAGGAAGCUGCCUAGGUCCA